GCACGGUUGAGGAGUCCCAAAAUAGGACGAAACAGCUGUCCAGUGC
rfam:Schistosoma mattheei strain Denwood, Zambia genome assembly, scaffold: SMTD_scaffold0006722